rnacentral:rRNA from 1 species
ACCCGGGGGGGUGCCCUUAUACAUGCAGUCGAGCGAACUGAAGGGAGCUUGCUCCCGGAAGUUAGCGGCGGACGGGUGAGUAACACGUGGGUAACCUGCCUGUAAGACUGGGAUAACUCCGGGAAACCGGAGCUAAUACCGGAUAUUUUCUUGAACCGCAUGGUUCAAGAAUGAAAGACGGUUUCGGCUGUCACUUACAGAUGGACCCGCGGCGCAUUAGCUAGUUGGUGAGGUAAUGGCUCACCAAGGCGACGAUGCGUAGCCGACCUGAGAGGGUGAUCGGCCACACUGGGACUGAGACACGGCCCAGACUCCUACGGGAGGCAGCAGUAGGGAAUCUUCCGCAAUGGACGAAAGUCUGACGGAGCAACGCCGCGUGAGUGAUGAAGGUUUUCGGAUCGUAAAGCUCUGUUGUUAGGGAAGAACAAGUACGAGAGUAACUGCUCGUACCUUGACGGUACCUAACCAGAAAGCCACGGCUAACUACGUGCCAGCAGCCGCGGUAAUACGUAGGUGGCAAGCGUUGUCCGGAAUUAUUGGGCGUAAAGGGCUCGCAGGCGGUUUCUUAAGUCUGAUGUGAAAGCCCCCGGCUCAACCGGGGAAGGUCAUUGGAAACUGGGGAACUUGAGUGCAGAAGAGGAGAGUGGAAUUCCACGUGUAGCGGUGAAAUGCGUAGAGAUGUGGAGGAACACCAGUGGCGAAGGCGACUCUCUGGUCUGUAACUGACGCUGAGGAGCGAAAGCGUGGGGAGCGAACAGGAUUAGAUACCCUGGUAGUCCACGCCGUAAACGAUGAGUGCUAAGUGUUAGGGGGUUUCCGCCCCUUAGUGCUGCAGCUAACGCAUUAAGCACUCGCCUGGGGGAGUACGGGUCGCAGACUGAAACUCAAAUGAGUUGACGGAGGCCCGCACAGACGUGUAGCAUGCUGUUUAUUUCGAAGCAACGCGAAGACCAUUACUAGGUCGUGACUGCUGCUGACGAGCCUAGCAGAAGGGCUGUGCCUUACGGGGCGAGUGAACAAGAUCGUCAUGGCUGUCUUCUACUCCUGUCAUGAAAAUGAUGGUUAAGUUCCGACACGAUCACUAAUC